CUUCGGUUUCAAAUACCUAGAUUACAGGUUAGCUUAGAAGAGGUCGGGCGAACACGGAGUUGAGGCAUAGUCAAUAUCACAGCUUUCGUUGGCUCUCUUAUCAAUGUUUUCCUUUCUUAUUAGAAUUGCUCUGAUGACCUUUGAGAUUGUUGUAAAUUAGCUAACGCAUGUUGUGUUCUUAGUGUUGAUGUAGAGCUGGGACCAGGGAGGCUCCAGGUGUUGUGGAUGGUUUGUUUUUGGUUAUAGAAGUGUACGUUUGGAUUUGACAAGUAGGAUUGCCCAUUUUCAAGAGAGGUUAUUCCGAAAUUUUUGGUAAAAUCUCUCUUAAGGUGGACCCCGCAGGGUUUACUUCGUGUAAUAUCCCGAAAAUUUAAUAUUAGUUUCUAAUAUUAAUUGGGAAUUUUCGAGUUAGAAGUUAGUGUGUUUUAAGGUUCGUAGGAAGAGCGGAAGUGUUCGGAUGCAUAAAUUACCCGAAACGGUUCUUUUCUCUUUAAGGUUCAUAGAGUCAACUUUUUAUCUGUUGGGUUUCUAAAGAAACUUCCGUCAUGAAAGUUGUAGAGCACGACGAUACAAGUCCGUAGACACGCGGCAUGCAUAAAACGGAUGUUGUACGAAAAAGUUAUGGUCAGCGGAAGUUCCUACCCUUUUUGGAAGUUGUCUAUAAAUAGAAAAAAGGAAAUCAGAAAAAAAGGAAAAAGUUUCCAAUCUGAAAAUUGUGCAUCUCUCUUCUUCUCCCAAGCUCCUUUAGAUUUUCAGCCAUAUCUUGGCCAUCCGAGCUCGGAUUUGGGCAAAUGAGGUACCGUUGUAAAGCUCUCUUGAUUCUCUACAAGUCUGUGGUGGUUUAGUAGCAAGAUUCGGGUAGUUGGAGGUGCAGCAAGGUCGGGAAGCAGCUGUGGCGCUAUUUUGGGUUCUUCGUCGGAACUCCUAAUUCCGGUCACCUUCGGCGACAACUCUUGAAGGCUUUUGAAGCUUGUGAGAUGUGGAUCAAUCCCUCCAAGCCUCUUGAACCGAUUUGAAGUGUGGAGGGUGAAUUGAGGAUUUGAAAUUCUAGGGUUUCAACCACCCAUUUUACUUGAGAGGUAAAUUCCACCUUCUAUAGUUAAAUUGGACUUUGUGAUAGUUGAGACUAUUGUAGGGCUUGUUGAGAUGAAGAGUUUGGUGUAUGGACCAUGACCCGGUUCGUGGGUUGCCGAUGGCGCGUGGGGCCCACUCUCCGUCGCCUGUGGCGGCGUGUGUAGUUUUGGUUGUUGUGGUUAACUAGCUCAUGUUGUUGUAAGCUUGUUGAGAUGUGGAAUUUCUACGUUUUGAGCAAGGAUUGCAUGCUAGGACUUUUUGUUUAAUCUUAGACUUGUGAGAGGUUUUGAGUUUAGGAUUUGAGGAUUAAAGACAGUGUAUUGGGUCGUUAAGUUCAACGACCUUAGAAGGUUGUCCUCCUUUGGGCUAAGGUUUAGUUUAAGGGUGUUUUGAUAUCCUACAAUGGUUACUAAGGUUAUUAAUGAUGUUAUUUAGGUAUUUGUGAAGUUGAUUUUGAGCUGGGCCUUGCAUUUUUGUGAAGACGCAGCGGGAGUAUUUAGGUGAGUAAAAUCUCUCCAAGGUUCACUUUGGGACCAAUUAUUUGAUGAUGAUUAUGAUGAUGAUAGUGAUUAUGAUGAUAAAAUGAUGAUGAUGAUGAUGAUGAUUAUAAUUUUAAAAAAAAAAUUAUGUUUUUGUUUGUUUUAAAAUAUAUGAGUUUGAUUGUCAACGGCUCAUAAGUAAGAGAAAACAAGUUUUUUUAUUUAAAUGAUUAUUUUUAAGGUUCUUGUGACCAUAAUAUUUUUGGUUCUAUUGAUGUAAUUAUUGGUGUCUUAGUGGUGAUUAUGUGCAUUCGUUGUGGACUGGUGCCUUAGUGGGGACUGUGUGCAUUAGUUGUGGAUGUGUGCCUUAGUGGUGAUUGUGUGCAUUCGUUGUGGAAUUGUGCCUUAGUGGUGAUUGUGUGCAUUAGUUAUGGAUGUGUGCCUUAUUGGUGAUUGUGUGCAUUAGAUUAGGAGCCUUCGUGGUGGACCGGGAACCAAGCCUUGGCCGGGUGACUGGUUACGGUCAGUAUAGAGCUCAAGUCUGUCCGUCGAUACUUCAUGUGGGAUGACUAAGUGUUGACGAACUCAUGAGUACACUUUUGUUUGGUUACUUAUGGGGGAUGACUAAGUGUUGACAAACUCAUAAGUAAGAGUAGAGAAAUGAUUGUGUGAUGUUCUUUAAAUUCCUUGCUUUGAGUAUCUCUUGAACUAUGCUUAUCCGCAGGAGAUUCUUAAUCUUAAUUGUAUGAUUUUUAGUGGAAUUUUUGAACUAUGCUUUUUGCAGGAUUUCAUUUAUAAUUUGAUUGAUUGUGAAUUAUUGUGUUUUCUUAAUUACUCUCUUUUGAAUUCUUUUGCUUUUAGGCGAUUCUUGAACUAAGUUUCUAAUGCAGGAAUUACCAAUUUUAUUCAUAUGUGAUAUUGGGUAGAGUCAUUUAUAGUAGAUUUACUCAUACGAGCUUUUUAACUUACCGAGUUUGUUGUUUUACAACCCGGUGCCAUAAUUCAUGGUGUAGGAGUUAGACCUGCAGGUGAUGUUCAGCAGGGUUGGAGUGGAGGCAUAGUGGCAGGGUUUUAGAUGUUGUAUAUGUAACACCCUAGACCUAAUUUUACCUAUUUACUAAGUAUUCUGCGAGUUACUGAGGAAUUUAACCACGCUCGGUAACUUAAUAAGGUAACACUCUAAUUUAUUUUCGAGUUUUCUAGAAAUGUAGAAUCCCUCUGUUAAGGUCUCAAUGUAGUAGUUUGUGUUAACACAAGUUCUUCGGUGUUUUAGGAUUAUUUGUCGGAACUUCGAGUUAUUUCGAUUUAUUGAAUGUUUGGUAGAAGGAUUAAUUUUCUGAAAUUAGAGUGUAACUUUUAAUCUGGGCCAUAGGAUCUAGGGUAAAAUCUUGGUUGUUGGAUUAGGCUUAAAAGGUAAUGACGGAGUUGACCCAGUCAAAGAAGACACACUCGGUUUGACCCGAGCCAAGACAUCCGUCUUCCUCUCCGCCUGCCUCUGGCGUCCUCCGCAUGACGCCGUCGUCUCCGGCCACCCUUGGCGACGAGAUCACUUCCAAUCUCUUCCUCUCCUUCUCUUCUAUCUAUCCCGGUCCUCAGAACUUGAUUUUAGUCCGAUUCAAAGUCAAAUCGAGGGAGAGAAGCUUCGGCUGUUCCCGAUGAGUCCUUGAGAUUCCGGCCAUGGGGAGACGAGUAAAUGGUAGGGGUUUGUUCCUCUCCUCUUCUUCUUCAAUUCCAUGUCUUCAAUUCUUUGAACUGAGCCUUGAUUCUAAAAGCCCUUUUUACUCUCUUUUAUAGGUUUCGAAUCCCUAGCUCCGGCGACUAAGUUCUUCGGGUUCUGACUGCCGCCACGAGCUCCGUCGAGCGUUGUUUAUCCUUGGUGAAGCCGAUUCAUAGAGUUGGGAAGCUUUGGGGCUGCUGUUGUGAGGUCGAGUAGAGGUAAGCUCUGCUUCUCGGGUGAGAAACUUCCGGGUUGGUUUAGACGAGCAGAAGUAAAAAUCCGGCUAGGAGGAGGACGAGAAGCAAAUGGGUUAUUGGUUUCAAGCAUUAAAGGUGAGCCUUGUGCUGUGUUGUUAUGUGUCGGUUGUGGUUUGAGAAAAUUGGAUUUUGGUUGCUAAUUUGGAUGUUUUGGUUUCUUGUAUGUCGAUAACUUGAUUUCGGAGUUUUCGGGGAGGCUGUGGCCAAUUUCCGGCAAGUGACCGGAAUCCGACGAUCAAAUUCCGGCAAAGGAGAUGUUUUUCAGGCAGUGGCCGAUUAGGUAGUUUCUAAGGACUUUCUUUCUAAUAUGAAUUGUAGUUCCAAAAAAGAGAAAUAUUCGGGUUAUAAUCGGAAAACUUGCUAAGUUAGGAAAGUUCCCAUUUUAGGAGACAUCCCUUUAUGGAAACCCUUUUUGAGUUUAUGGAGACAUCCUGUCACAUCCCGACCCUUAUAUUUUUACCUUAUUUACUAGCGUGAUUAUAAUAAGAAUUUUACCGUCUCAAUCAUUGAAUUAAUUGUUAAUGGGUCCCUAGAGGGGUUUCCGGGACGAUUAUGUGCGGAGGAUUAUUCGUAUGAGGAAAAUACGACGACGGUAAAAAUGGUAAAUUUUAGCUAGUAAAAGGUAAUUUUUAUUCGGGUAUUAUUUUUCGGGGUGUUUUUAUUUUUUGAGUUGGGUUGAUAAGGGUGGACCGGUUGGGAGGCCCAACCCAUUUCCUCUCUUUCUCUUCUUCUCCCUUUUCUCUUUCUUCUCUCCCCCGUGUUUCCCUCCCGCUGUCUGAUUUUCCGACCGCCAAACCGCCGCCAUCCGGCCGCCCCAGACCGCCGCACCGGUCCCAAUCGAUCGGUCUCUGACCCAGCUAUCUUCUAGGACCGGUAGCAGCCCCCCUAGCGCCGCCGUGAAAGAGCGGUGCCGCCCGAAAGGAUAGGCUGCCCCGAACUUUCGGUCGCCGGAACUCCCUCCUCCGGCCACCAAUCCGGGCAAGCUUGGUACGGUUUUGUAGCCCUCCUCCCGUGCAGCAACCCCUCCAAGCAGCUCCCUCCCUCUUGAGCUAGGUAAGGAGAAAUGUGGAGUUAAAAUUUCUAGGGCUUUUAAGUUGUUUUCGUUCGAUUAGCCUAGUUAGGCUUGGAAUUGGGUGAUGUGUUGGUCAUGAAAGUUGUAGAGGAGAUUGAGAGGAAGAUUCUGUUAAAAUUUGGUAGCAUUUGCAGGUCGCCGGAGUUGGUCGCCGGCCGCCGCUGCCGGCGGAGCCGCCGCCGGCGCCGUCGCUGUUUUGGGAAAUUUUGUGGUUUUUGAUGUAGAAUAUUAAGGGGAUAUUAUUGAGGUGAAUUUUGGAAUUUUUGGAUGAGAUUUGGAUAGGUUUGUGAAUUUCCGAAGUGUGGUAUUUUUUGGCGGUUAAUUAAUGUAGAAUCCGACCGUAGGAUUUAAGUCGUAUUUUGGAGAGGUUGUAUUUACGACUGUCGAGUAUGAUAUUUAAGUUCGGAUCGUUCCGAUUUAAGAAUAUCGAAGUUAGGCAAUGAUGAGCGUAUUUAUGGCUCUCGGGUAAUUUUGCCUAUUUUGAUUAAAUAUUGGAUUAUUGGUUGGGAAAUUAAUAUUAUAUUUGGAACAGGACGUGAGGAGGCUCGAGCAGACGAGGCCCCAGUGGACUUUUAUUUGAAAUAAUAUGCAUCCUAUGGUUCAUGAUUGAACAUUUCCUUUUGUUGGAGUUUUGACGUCAAUUAAUUUUGACGCUUUUAUUUCUCUGAGAGAGUUACCGAAAAUGGGAUUUUCGGUGAAUAUAAAUAUGUAUAUAUGAGAGAGUAUGUAUAGAAAAUGCUAGCUAGCCAUAUGUGUCUGUCCACCUUAAUGGCGUAGCAUAUAGCCGCAUUAUGGUGUGACGUGAGCGUUGGACGUGAGCGUAGUAGCCCUAUAUGAGUGUUUAAUUCAUAUAGGGGGUAUGGGCACAUAUUUAUACACCCGUCUGUCCACCUUAAUGGCGUAGUGUAGCACCGCAUUAAGGCGUGACGUCAACGUUGGACGCGAGCGUAGUAGCCCUAUAUAGACCCAUGAAUUUAUAUAGGGAGUAUGGACGUGUGUAAAUACAUACAUAUAUUAUAGAGCCUGAGAGGCUCGACAUUUAUGGGAUAAAAGUUUUAUCGCUUGCGGUAUGCAUUCGAUUUUUCCUUAGAAAUUAAUUUGGGGAAACAUAAAUAUUUUAUUUAUUAUUUUAUUUCUGUCCACUCACUCUAACGUUAUUAAAUGUUUUCCCCUGGGCCCUUCGUUUUAAAUUGCCCAGUCUGCAGAGUUCGGGUUGGAUCUAGUAGGAGACGAGGCAUAGUCACCCGCUUUUCUGCCAGUUUUCAUCAGUAGGUUACCUGUUCAACCUACUCGUGUUUUCUUGCUUCCACUUGUGUUUAGUAGCUCUGAAUACUUUGGGAUUAUUGUAUUUUAUGUGUAGAAUUUCUGAAGGAUGAUUAUGUGAUGUUCGGAAGUGUUGAAUUAAGAGUGUAAUAUGAAAUUUUCGAGUUAGGGUUGUCCAUCUGCAAGGGAGAUUUGCUUAAUCUUUUCAGUAAAAUUUUUCCUUGGAGGUGGUCCCCGCACGACUUACUCCGGGUUUCAGGGUGAAAUUUGGGGUGGGUCGUGUCACAUCCCAUUUAUGGAAACCCUUUUUGGGUGCCCUUAGUAAUUUAAUGGUUUUCCGGAUUAAUGUGUUCUAUAUAUUUGAGUCCUUGAAAUUACCCUAGUUUUAUUAAUCGACACCGGAGGUUGCCAAAACGAUCUUUUAAGCGUAAAAGUUGGGGGUCAUUAGUGAUUCAUGAAUUAUUUAAUGACGCCAAGUGAGUAGUGGUUAGUAGAAUAUUUGGUGAAUUGACUCGAAUUGUUAAGUUAAAGGUUAAUUUGGAAAAUGUCGAAACAUCAUUAGUUGCCCAACCCUAAGUCAAUUGGUCAAUCCUAGUCAACCUAGGAAAUCCUAAUCGAACUAGGAAGAAGUCGAGUCAAUGAUUAUUUCGGCGUCCAGUCUGACCGAUUUGUUCUACUAUUUAUCGUCAGACGUGGGAUUGACUUGAGAUUUUGAAUAAUUGGAGACACCGCUCGAGGAGUAUUCCGAGCAUUGGAAGGCUUAACCUGUGAGUGGACUUUUGUUUUAAUUAAAAGCAUGCGAUGCAUUAUAUUGUUGAUCAGUUAUUCUUCUGUUGAAAUUUAUUGCUUUCUCUGAUGUUUGGCAAUUUUCAUCUUUUGGAGAGUUACCGAAAAUGAGAUUUUUGGUGGAUAUGUAUAUCGGAUGUUUAUGAGUAUAGUAUGUAUAUAAAUGCUAGCUAGCCGUACGUGCUUGGUCCGUCAUAAUGAGGUAAAAUUCUAUUAUGGCGUGACGUGACUGUUAGACACAAGCGUCAUAGCCCUAUAUGAAAACUACUUUCUUAUCUGGUUCUUAUAGGUUUCAUAUAGGGAGUUCACACGUAUAUACACCCGUCCUCUUCAGUCAUAAUGAGGAAAAAUUCCAUUAUGGCGUGACGUGAGCGUUAGACGCAAGCGUCGUAGCCUUGUAUGAAUUUCUAUUUUUCUAUUUUGUUCAUAAAAUUCAUACAAGGAGUCUGACGAGUGUAAAUACAUACACAUAUAUAUUUAUAUAGUUUAGCAUGAGAGGCUCUAUUUUAUUGAGUAUUGGAGACUGGCCGGAGCUAGUCAUGUAUUUGCCAGUUUGAGAGUAGAAAGCUUUGAGCUGUCACAAGCAGCAUAUUUUCUAAGGAAAUUUAUUUUGGGAAAGCAUAAAUAUUUUUCAUUAAAUUCAUUUUUGUCCACUCACUCUAACAUUUUUAAAUGUUUUCCCCUAGGCCCUUCGUUUUAAAAAUGCCCAGUAUGCAAGUUAGCAUAAUUAAGAUCGGGCGUACAUGGAGAAGAGGCAUGAUCAAUAUUAUAGCUUCCGCUCAUUUUUAUAUUUCUAGUUCUUUUCCUCUCAAAUAGAGUUGCUCUGAACUGUGGUUGUUGGUUAUGAGAUUUUCUUUUUAAAGUUAGUAAUUAAAUUGAGAGAUGAUGUGAUUUGGGGGAGCACGAAGGCUCCAAGAGUUUAAGGUUGGAUUUGGAUUUUCAGAAGUGUAUUCAGGCAUUAUUAGGAAGGGUUGUCCAUUUUCAAGGGAGGUUAUGCCGAAUUUUUGGUAAACUUUCCUUGGAGGUGGUCCCCACAGGCUUUACUUCGAGUUUCAGGGUGAAAUUCAGGUUGGGUCCUGAUAGUUGGUAUCAGAGCACUAGGUUAUUCGAUUCCUUUCUCUUUUUAGUACUACCUCAUAUUGUUGGUCAUGAUUAGUGUCUAUAGAGUGAUGGUCCUACCGCGGCGGAUCUAUUAGCAUUAUAUGCUUUAGACACUAUGUGUUGAUUAGGUUUGUGAUGUAGUUGUUCCUAUCUUGUUUAUGAACAGUAUUGUACCAUAAAUGUCUAUAUCUCUAAGACUAAGCCUCCGUACGCCAACCUCUUAAGUAAAUCAUUCUGCUUUGAGUAAUGAAAAGGUGUAUGGAUCACGCCUUUUCUAAGGGUAUCGAGUUGAUAUCAUAAAUUGUUAGAGUUCAAUUGUGAGUUGGGAACUCCAGUUGGGAACUCAUCAAUGAUUGUUUGGGUGAUGAUUAAGAUGCUAGGUUGGACAAUUUGUGUGAAUCUGUGGUAGGUGAAAUGUUUCAAUUCAUGUCUUGGGAGUUUUCUGUUUUUGGUGGGCAAGUAAGGAGUUGUUGUAGUCCGAUAGAAAAUCUUGGCUUCGAGUUAUGUGAUGUCUAGGAGAAAAUAGUUGGAAAGAAAGUUCGAAGUAGUGGUGUAUUCUUUUGAUGUUAAAGUUAGUUGAAGUGUUAUGGUAGGGUACCUAUAGUAACUCUUGGAGGUACCUUUAUGAGUUGUUGCGGACCCUAAGCUUGAGCGAUUUAGUCACGUGGGAUUUGUGGCUAGUGAUUGGGUUGUAAGGCAUUGCUACAUAAAAAGCUAGUCUUAUGCUAUCUGUUUCUUUUUCCUCCCUGUUUCACUACUAAAUAGUUUUUUUAUAGAAACAGAAAAGAUAAAACUGCAAAUUUAGCAAACAAUAAUAUUUGAAUAUUAAUAAUUUGUUCAUACAAAGUCACACCUUGAAAGUAAACUAAACAAAACCAUUCAUUCAUCCUAGCUAGCCUAUCCCCUUCUCCAACUAAACAAAACCAAUUGCAUGUCAUCCUAGCUAGUCUAUCCUUCUCCAACUAAACAAAACCAAUUGCAUGUCCCAGACCUAACCUUAAAGGCUGCUUCGCCAAUCUAAAUAAAACCAAAAUAGUGAAGCAUAUAUACAACAACCUAUAGCCUUAAAGGCUUCUCCAUCUAAUAAAAACCAAAUAAGGGAAGCAUGCAGUGUUGUACCUAGUUCCUCUCAACUUCCAUGUUGUUCCCUACAUCAACAUUUUCAUUUAGAGGUUGUUGGGAAGGGACUUGUGGAGGACACCCAGUCUGCUGCCCCAUAAAAGACAUCUCUGCUGCUAGUUGCUACUUCACCAAUGCCAUCUCUUCACUAAGGUUCUGCGCAACCGCCUCGGCUUUUUCGGCUCUCUCCUCAGCAAUAUGUAAUCUGUCCUCCACCUCAUAAACUCGAGAACAUGGAGCAGAAGAUGAUGACUCUCGUACACCUGCUCUUCCAAGACCACGAAUCUCCUUCCCGGCUCUUCUACCAACUCCUACUUCAAGCACCUUAAUGUUUAUUGACCACUCCAAAGGUGGGAGCUCACCCUCCGGGACAUCAAGGUUUGCAUUCUUCUGCUCAUUUUUCAAUUUAGAGGCCUCUUUCUGCAUUUCCUCCUGCUUAUUUUGCAAAUCUUAUCAUCCAGGCUGUAAAUGAUAAGCAGUGAAGGAAAAUAAGUGUUCCUUUAUGGAUGGAACUGAAACUGAACUGAAAAUAAGUGUGUUCCUCUAGGUUCAUUUUGGUUCCAGAAAAUGAAGCAAAAUUGCACUUCACCAUACUCACCAUAACCAAAAGACACUUGCAUGCAAUGUUAUUUCAAUAUCCAUCAAAACAAUAACAAAUGGGAAAAAAACCCAGAAAAUCCAAGAGAAACCACAAACCCAUGCUUUCUCUUCCUCUGCCAUAAGGAUUCCCACUAACCAAAUAAGAAAUAGAAACAAUAGCAAAAAUCACAAGCACACAAUCCACCAUUUUCUCCAGUCUAAUAAGAAAUCAAUAUAAGGUGAUGAAUGUGUGCCCAACAAAACCCAUGAAUAUGUUGCUCUGCACCUAAACAAAACUUUUUAGACAAACUGAUCGAUAUAUAUAUAAGAUGGUGCUGAUGUUUAUCCUUAACAUUAUCACCAGCAGUACUACUGGUUCUAGUGCUGCACUUCAAAUAUAUAUAAAUGAGGUUUUCAUCCUUGCUAAUUAUUUAAAUAAAGACAAACUCAUUAUGGUUCAUCAUCAUUAGAAAUGUGGAAGAUGAUCAAUAAUCUCUCCAGGUGAUCACUUUGUGGGUUCAAAUUCAAAAAGGACUCUAACCUUGUUUUAUAUAUAUAAGCCACAGAUAGAUAGAUAGAUAGAUCUGCAGCACAUUGAAAGAAGCGAAAAGGAGGAGGAAAAAUUAUCAUAGCGAUAUUAACGUGUCACUUACUUGAAUUAAGCUAAUAAAAUCUUCCACUAUUUUCCAACUUAUAUAUAUGAAUGUGUAGGGCAAAAAUAAUAAAAGAAGGAAUUAUUCUAUACUACUAGGCUUUUUUAGGAGGGAUGUUUGUUUCAGUUCACAAGAUUCGUUCUAGUAUGGAAAAUCAAUAUACGGUCAAAGAUGCAAAGAGUCAUGCAUACCAUUGAAGCAUCUGAAUCAGAUAUCUUUCAUUUCACAGAUGUGCUUAAAUAAAAUACUGUUAGACAAAUGCCAUUUCAUAGGUCACGGGGUUGCAAUACAUUAAUGUUAAAACUACUCAAAUUGUUAAUUAAUCUAAAACUACACAUGACUUCCACACACACACACACACAGCUAACAAUGACCAAAUUUAAUUAACUUACAAGAUUCUUGGCAGCUUUAGGGUUGUUGACUGUAUCAUACGACUCUGUGUAAGAUGGGAUAACAAGAAAUUCCUCACCCUUCUCUUUGUGGUGGACCACCCUGUAGAUGAUAGGUAGCCGCCCUGUGUGGUGCUCCGACUCCUUCUUACCACGGUUGGUCGUGUUAGCCGCCGAUCGUGUCUACCAAACAUUGAACCAAUCAGUAAGCAACAAACAAUUUUAGAGAAACAUGAUGCUUGUGCUAAUUUAUAUGAAUUAUUUACAAAAAAAAUAAAUUAUUAUAUAACAAGACUUGAUGAAUAAAAUUGAGAAAAAAGAAAGUAAAGGAGACUAAACUGCACUCAAACACCAACAGACUAACCUAUACAAUGUGUGUUUAUAAAUAUGAUCAAUGGAAGAAGUUUGAAGAGAGUCCAAGUACACCAGUCCAACUACAUAUGGUACUGCAUGCAAUCUGCACAGAUGAUGUCCAUGUAUGUACGUUGUGCUCUUUAAGAUUAUAAACUAGGUAAGAACUACCUCUAAAUAAGGGUGCCGGCCUCAAGCCUCAAUAAACCGGACAGCUUCACAUUAAUCAAAGGAGGGGAACAACCCUUAGAAUUAUAGAACAUUGAAAGUUGAAACAUUAUGAAACUGAAACCAAGGACUGAUUAGUGCUAAAGGACACAUGCAACUAGCCUUCCUUUUCUUCUUCAAAUAAAUUUUGACAAGCUAGCCUUCCAGUUAAGAUCGAUACAUAGGAGAAUCCGAUAUAUGCAUUCAAGUCAAAAAUUAAAGAUACAUACAAGAUGUGCGCUUAAGUGGCUUAACAAGAAGGACCUCUCAGUGACUAUGUACAUAGGGUUUUUACAUAUGUAUAAGAUCUAUGAUGCCUUAUAAGGGGACUAGAAAAUUUAGCUGAUGCAUGCAAGAAGUCUUUGGAAAAGAAAGACAUAAGUAAAAUUUUACUAUACCAUUCUACUGUCUGGUUCUAAAACCUACAAAAUGUUCACCGUUCACUUGCAAUCCUUUCCUUAUUGCACAACGAAAUGACCAAUAAAAUGAAGCAUAACCAUGGAUAUGUGUUUCAAAGAAUCGCAUACCAAUCACAAAAUACAAGUUGAUAUGAUACCAGUUGUUUCAAACUCAAAUCACCACUGAUACAAGGGCUCUUUAUCCUCAGUUGAGCAAGAAAGCCUCAAAAUUAGCAGAUAGGAAAAAUUUGUCAUUUGAGUAAAAUUAUUAUAUAACAGGACUUAAAGUGUUUCCAACUACUACUCUAACCAAAAUUAGCAUGCCAAUCACAAAAUCAACAAAAAAACUACUACUCUAACCAAAAUCCAAAAUUUUAGGAACUAUAAUCAUUCAGCAAAAAAAAAAACAACUCUACAACUCUUUAACAAUCAUUAACCAUAAUGUCCCUCUAACCAUGAACUGCCAUCCGUCAUACAUUCUACAACUCUUUAACAAUCAUUAACAAAUACCAACUCAUCUCACAAAUUCACAUUCUAGCCAAAAUAUGAAAUACCAACUCAUCUCACAAAUUCACAUUGUAGCCAACAUAAGAAAUACCAACUCAUCUCACAAAUUCACAUUCUAGCCAAAAUAAGAAAUACCAACUCAUCUCACAAAUUCACAUUCUAACCAAAAUAAAUAUCAAAGUGGCAGGAAAAUAAAUUUACCUUGAAAUCAGCCCACUCAAAGUGCCAGCAAAGCUAGUCCCACUCAUCCCGCCUGUGUAUCAAAUCUGGCGGAAUUGUUCCUCUCCCAUACUUCUUAUAGCGUUUUGAAAAGUCCCCAUUCCAAUCUUUAUAUAUGGUACCCGCCUUAUCUUCAAGCCACGCCCACAUCCGUUUAUCCCCAAAAUCAAUUUUAAAAUAUGGCUGCAACACAAACAUUCACCAACUCACUAAACAUAUAACCAUAUAACCAUAUAACCAACUUCAUGCCUAAACAGAAUGACAUAAUGAACCAACUGACUAAACAUAUAACCACUCAUCAUAAUGAAGAAUAAAAACAACUGAUUCACCAAAAGAGAAAGCAGGACUCUUACCGUAAGCCCGUCUAUCAACUUCUUCUUCUCAAAGUCACUUAGGCAUUCCCACUUUCGGCCAACAAUUUGACUUUGGAUCGAAUAAUUGCACCAAUGCUAUUGACCAGGAGGCUGCUCACUGAUGAUGAAGAUGGUCCUCGAUGAACUCGUCAUACACUGUUUCAAUCUUCCCGGUACAUUUCACAAUUCUUUUCACUUUGUCCAAGUUGCCGAACUCUCGUCGGAGUUUUGGGGGACGUCCAGUGGACUUCUUAGUACCACAUCGAACGCUACAACGUAACCAUCGGACAACGCCUCCUCAUCUUCUGGUGCGACAUUGUUGAUCUCGUCCUCAUCCAGUGGCGGAGCUGUUUCGGCAAUUGAUACUCGUGGUGGAGGUGGAAUCAUUUCACGAACAAAACCUCCAGUUAGAGGCUCCCGUCGGCCACCAACAUCUCCCGUCGGCGCUGCAGUAUCUUCCGUUGUGCAGGAUCCAUAUUGGGUUGCACAAGCCGCUCUUAAUCUCUCAAAUGCAAUCUCCCUGGCCCUUUUCUUCGUCAAUGGUGGCAUGUUGGGGAUAGGGUGGGAAUGAAAUUGGGAUUAGAUGGUAGAGGGGAGAGCGAACAACAGAAUUGGGAUUGAACAAGAAAUUCAAAGAAGACGGGAGAAGUCGGGAUUAAUUAGGGUUCGAAUGGGGGAGAUGAAUGUCAGGACCCACCCCAAAUUUCACCUUGAAACCCGAAGUAAAUCCUGCGGGGACCACCUCUAAGGAAAGUUUACCGAAAAUUCAGCAUAACCUCCCUUGAAAAUAAACAACCCUUUCUAAUAAAACCUGCAAACACUUCUGAAAAUUUAAAUCCAACCUUAAACUCCUGGAGCCUUCGUGCUCCCCAAAUCACAACACUACCCAAAUUAAUUACUAAUCUAAACAAAUCUCAUAUCCAACCCUUUAUUGGUUCAGAGCAACUCUAAUAGGAAGAAAUGAAACAUAAUAAAUUAACAAGUGGAAGCUAUAUGAUGACUAUGCCUCAUCUCCAAGUACGCCCGACUUCAACUAAGCUAACUUGCAAGCUGAGCAUUUUUAAAACAAAAGGCCCAGGGGAAAACAUUUGAAAACGUUAGAGUGAGUGGACAAAAAUAAAUUAAUAAAAAAUAUUUAUGCAUUCCCAUUUUAAUUUCCAAAGAAAUUAUACUACAUGCAUCCGCUCAAAAGCGCUCGACUCAAAAACUAGCAAUUUCACGACUAGCUCCGGCUAGUCACCAACUCAAAUAAAAUGGAGCCUCUCAGGGUAAACAAUAUAUAGACAUAUACGUGUAUGUAUUUACACUCGUCAGACUCCUUGUAUGAAUUCUAUGAACAACUUAGAAAAAGAGAAACUCAUACAAGGCUACGACGCUUACGUCUAACGCUCACGUCGCGCCAUAAUGAAAUUUUUCCUCAUUAUAACCGAAGAGGAUGGUGUAUAUAUAUGUGUGGACUCCCUAUAUGAAAACCUAAAUAAACCAGAAAAUAACGUAGUUUUCAUAUAGGGCUAUGACGCUUGUGUCUAACACUCACGUCACGCCAUAAUGGAAUUUUACCUCAUUAUGACGGACCAAGCACGUAUGGCUAGCUAGCAUUUAUAUACAUACUAUACUCAUAACAUCCAAUAAACAUAUCCACCAAAAAUCUCAUUUUCGGGAACUCUCCAAAGGAGGAAGAAUUGCCAAAUAACCGAGAAAUCAAUAAGUCUCAUCAGAAGAAAUAAAUGAUCAACAAAAUAAUUCAUCGCAUGCUUUUCAAUUAAAACAAAGGUCCACUCACAACUCUAGGCAUAAGCCCGACGAAAUCCAAAUCGCCACUCCAGUGAGGUUUCCUCGAACUCUGGCACAAAUAUAUAUAAUUAAUUUCCCAACUAAAAAUCCAAUAUUUAAACAAAAUAGGCAAAAUUAUCCAAGAGCCAUACUCACGCUUACCAUUGCCUAACUUCAAUACGGUCCACACCUCAAUACUAAAACCAGCAGCUUUAACUACACCCUUCCACAGAUUAUACGACUUUAAUCCAAUGGCCGGAUUCUACCUUAUUAAUCCGCCAAAAUUACCAAACUUCGGAAAUUCACAAACCUAUCCAAAACUCAUCCAAAAAUUCCAUAAUUCAUCACAAUAAACUCCCCUAAAUAUUCCACAUUUAAAACCAUAAAAACCUCCCAAACAGCGGCGGCCGGAGGCCGACUCUAGCGACCUUCAAAUCCUACCAAAUUUUAAUAGUAGCUUCCUCUCCACUCCCUCUACAACUUUCCUAACUAGCACAAACCCAAAAUCCAAGCCUAGCUAUGCCAAUCGAACGGAAACAUCAAAAACGCCCUAGAACUUCCACCUCAAAUUUCUCCUUACCUGAAACGAACCGGAGUGAGUCCUUUUAGGGCAAGGCGGCUGGGUUUGAGACCUUCAAAACCGUACAAGGCUUGCUCGGAUUGGUGGCCGGAGGAGGAAGUUCCGGCGAUGGAACCACCAUGGCGGCCGAGCCUUUCGGGGGAGAGAACUCCUUCACGGCGGAGCUAGGGCGGCUCUCACCGGCCUAGAAUGGAAGCUGGGUCGGAGGCCGAUCGAACGGGACCGGUGCGGCGGCGGUUGGUGGCCGGACGGCGGCGGGAGGACGGCCGGAAAGUCGGGCAGCGGGUGGACUCGGGGGAGAGGAAGAACCGGGAAGAAAAAGAGAGAAGGGAGAAAUGGGUUUUGGGCCUCCACCCAAACCAGUCCAACACCACACUUAUACCCAACUCCAAAAAUAAAACACCCCGAAAAAAUAAUACCCGAAUAAAAAUUACCUUUUACUAGCUAAAAUUCACCAUUUUUACCGUCGUCAUAUUUUUCUCCUACUAAUAAUCCUCUGAGCAUAACCGUCCCCGAAACCCCUCUAGGGACCAAUUAAACCAUAACCUCAAUGACGGAGACGGUAAAAUUCUUAUUAUAACCAAGCUAGUAAAUAAGGUAAAAAUUUAAAGGUCGGGAUGUGACUAUGAAUCCCUGAUUCGAAGUCGGUUUAGGGAUUACAGUUUCGAAAUUGGGAAGGCGCCGGCGAAUUUCGGGGAUGGUGGAGUUGCGAUAUGGGGAGUAGCAGGAACUGAUUUGGGUAUAAUGACUAAUGGAUGUUGCUACGAAACCCGGCCCUUCGUGGCCCAAUCUCACUUUCGAACUCGGCCCAAAUAUUUGUCGCAAAAUGGUGCCGCGCUAAUUUUUAGGACCUUUGCGACGAGGUUAACAUUUUCGUCGCUUAGGAUAUGAAUUUUAGCGAUGAAACUUGUUUUUUUGUCGCAAAUUUAGUCGCAAUAUUUGAAAUUGAUGUAUAUUUUCAUUAAAUACAUUUCUUUAAAUUUAAUUAUUUAACAGUACAAAUACAUAUGUUUUACAGUACAAAUACAUAUGUUCAGAUGCACACCAAAAUAUGUUUCUAUAAUUAAGUACUCAAUCACUAUCCUCGUAAUCUGGAUCUUCUAGAUCAUCCUCAGGAAUUUCAUCUGAAUCUUCAUCUUCAUCUUCAUCGUUAAUGAAGUCGUGACUAGGUGGGAUGUACGGUAGUGAACUGAAGUCGAACCCUAAACCUGAAAUUGGAAUGUACUCACCUUGUGUGAAGUGGAUGUCGUUGUUGAUGCGAAUUGUGCUUGUGUCGGGGAUGUCAGAGGUAAAAGGCACUUGAUAUGGUUCAAGAGCCACAUUCUCAAUAUCUUGUUCGACCCGGCCCCCUUAAGUGUGGUUGCGUUAAAUAUACUUCUAUGCUCCAUCACGUUAACUACUUUCCAACCCCUACCAGCUUUUGGAUCAUCAAGAUAAAACUCUUGUUUUGCUUGAAUGGCAAGCACAAACGGGGCAUGCUCGUACCAGCUUGUGGAUGUAUUCAUGGAUAAUAGCUCGUGGUCCAUCUUCGUACUCCUCGGAAAAUUUGGGUCAGUAUUAAACCAUCUACACUUGAACAACACAAUUGGCAUACCUGUUGGAUAUAGUAGUUCGAUGACGGCAACAACAAUUCCGUAGUAUGCAACAUUAUCCUUACCCACUACCAUGAUGCCAUUGUUCUGUGUCUUUCGGCGUUGAUCUAAUCGUUCUGUGAGAAACUUAACACCGUUGACUACACAAGCCGCAUAAACGUUAUGUCCUUGUGGCAUACACGCCAAAUGAUGCAACUGCGGAGAAUAAUCUUUGUCUUGGCAUUCUUGCAUCCUCGUUACCUACAAACAAAUAAAAAUAUGUAAGUUAAAAAUUAUGAUCGAAAAGGGCAUAAUUUUCCCAAAUUUUGAAAUGGGGAGAUUAAACGUACCCAUUUUAGGAAAUAUACAGGAAACAUUUUCUUAUGCCUCUCUUCAUGCUUAUUCUGAUACUUAAGUUGAUUAAGUCCCAAAUGAGCAUCUCUAUAUUCCUUGACCUCGUCACAGUGUUGCAGUACCCACCAAUGAGCCUCACAUAACUCAUCUUCUCUUAAAAUUUCUGAAUUAGGUAAGUUACCAAACAUUCUUAUAUCUUCAGAGACAAUUGAGAGGUUGAAAAUAGGUGUUCUUGCCGGGUCGAGGCCCUCUGUGUCAUCAGUAUUAUGGAGAUAUGACUUGCAAUACGUUACACACUCAUGUGGAAUGUAUGCGUUAGCUAUUGAUCCUUCUGGUUUUGCUCUGUUUUUAACAAAACCUUUAUACCCACCAAGUUGUCUAAAAAUAAAAUAGUUAGUACAAAUGAAAAUAUAGGGAAAAUAUGUUAAUAAUAAUAAUGUGUGACAGGAUUUUGGGUUAUAAUCAUACAUUUCUAUGGGAAACAUCCAAGUAAAGUGUACUAGACUAGUAAGAAGCACUUGUUCGGAAAGAUGGAUCAUGAGAUGAACCAUAAUCGAAAAGAAAGUCGGGGGGAAGAUCCUCUCCAAUUUACAUAGGAUGUAGACAAUGUCUGAUUUCAUUUCAACAGCAUCUAACUUCUUCAGCUCUCUACUGCAUAAUCUCUGCCAAAACCUGGACAAGGCUACUAACGGCUCCACCACAUCACGAUGCAGAUAAGGUCUGAUUACCACGGGAAGAAGACGUUGCAAUAAAACAUGACAGUCAUGACUCUUCAAUCCAUGUAUCUUCUGUUCCGCCACCUUAACACAUCGAGCUAUAUUUCCAGCAUAUCCUUGAGGAUACUUAACAUCAUUGAACCAACUUAAAACUUUAGGUUUCAAAGCGGGCUUCCCUGAGUAAGGUGCAAUAGGCAUAAACACUUGUCUUGACGCCAUCCUUUUUACCCAUAAGUCACACCGUAAGCCCAUCUUUUGCAAAUCAUCUCGCGCUUUGAUAUUGUCUUUUAUCUUGUCUUUAAUGUUGAGAAUUGUUCCCACCACGUUGUCACAAAUAUUCUUUUCUGUAUGCAUGACAUCUAGGUUGUGUCUAAUUCUCAAAGUGGACCAGUAAGGUAAUUCAAAGAAAAUACUCUUAUGAUGCUAAUUGUCAAGUGCAGCAGGACACACAGGAUUUUGGGCCAAGACAUCUUUAUCACUACUCAAAUAUCUAAAAUUGAAAGAGUUCAACCUGUAUAAAAUUUCAUCCCCAGAUUGAAUAGGAGGUGGUUCACGAUGUUUUUCCCUGCCAUCGAAUGCAUCUGCAUCAAGCCGCCAUUCAUGAUUCAUUGGAAGCCAUCUAUGAUGACCCAUGUAAACAAUCCUGUCCGCGUGACGACUAGCAUCAACGUUCUCUAAGCAGACGGGACAAGCCUUGUACCCUUGAGUGGUAUGAGAAGAUAACAUACCGUAGCCAGGAAAGUCGCUAAUUGUCCACAUCACGACUGCUCUCAUCCUAAAUGAAGUUUUACUAUGUCUGUCAAAAGUGGGGAUUCCAUUUUCCCAUAAUUCUUUUAGCUUAUCAAUCAACAGUCUCAAAUACAUAUCUAGACACUUUCCCGGAGAAUUGGGAUCUGGAAUUAACAAUGCCAAAAAAUUAUAUUCCUUCUUCAUACACAUCCACGGUGGUAAGUUGUACGACAUUAAAAUAACAGGCCAAAUGCUAUGAGACAGAGUCAUAUUGCCACUAGGAUUGAACCCGUCUGUUGCUAGUCCGAGCCUUACAUUUCGAACGUCUUCCGCAAAAUCAGGAAAUGAUGUGUCAAAAGAUUUCCAAGCCUCCCCAUCUGAGGGUUGUCUCAAAACACCAUCAUCUUCCCUAGGAAGACCGUGCCAUCUCAUCUCCUCUGCAAUCUCUGAUGACAUGUACAGACGCUGCAAUCUCGGAGUUAAUGGGAAAUAACGAGGCACCUUCACAGGAACAGGUUUCCAUUUAUCUGAAGAAGCCUCCUCAUCAUACCUCGACCCAUUGCAAAUGGGACAGUAAAUAGCAUUCUUGUAAUCUUUGUAAAACAACACUCAAUUAUUUUUGCAGGCAUGGAUCUUCACAUAAAUAAGGCCGAGGUCACCCAGGAUCUUUUUUGUCUUAUAAUGACUCUCAGGAAGUCUAUUUACAAGAGGAAGUAAAGUUUUGAUAAACUUUGAAUAGUCUUCAUAAUGUCCAUUACUCGUUUUGUGCUUUACUUUCAAAUGCAUCUGUGACAUGAUGGCACUCAAAACUGAAACUGGACAGUCGUCAUACACUGGUGUCUGGGCUUGUUCGAGAAGCUUGUUAUACUUCUAAUAAUUAGACAUGUCAACUGUCUCAUUGACAUUGGGGGCAUCAUCAUUAACUGCCUCUUCUUCAUAUCUUGAAGCAUACAGGAAAACAUCAUAUAGCAUAUUCAUAGCGGGGUAUAUAGAAGGGUCGGCAGUACCACUAGAUGACCCAAUUUCAUGAAUAUAACUUGCUCGAAAUUCCGCUAGUGUAGGAUUAUUUUCCUCCACCUCACCAUGUUCUGUCUAUAUAGUAUAAUUCUUCCACAUACCAAAAUGUGACAAGUGUUGUUCCAUACCCGAUCGUGUUUGCCAAUCGUCGCACAUACAUUUUCUACAUGGACACUUAUGCCACUCAGUUCCUGGGGUAGCAUGAUAAUCAACAAAUCUCAAGAAAUCAAAGAUUCCCUGUAUAUACAAGUGGUGACACCUGUCGUAUAACAUCCAGCUUUUGUCCAUGUUUUGCAUCUGCUAUCAUAAGAGAGAAACAACAAAUAAGCACCAAGUAUAUAGCAACAAGCCAACAUUACUCAUACAAAUAUUCGUUUCUUCUUCACCUUAUGCCUCCGGUUAGGGUCCUAAUCCCAUUUAGGAGAAUAAGACUUUGUUAAGAAAUUUGUUGUUCUUUGUUUCGAUUUCGAUGUGGUAAAAUUUCGGCAGCAUCUCCCUAUAGUUCCCCAAGUGCAUGAAUAUCUAAGCCUAGUAUGCACUCGAGGAACAAUAUAGGAGACUCUGUCGAAAUAUAUAUACCCACAAUCGAAACCAAAAACAAAAGAACUGCAAAUCACAUAACAAAGUCUUAUUCUCCCAAACUGUCCAAAAAUGGGACAAUUCAAGAACCAUUUUAGUCUGUUGCCAAACCAAAAUCAUUCUCGAACGGGAUUUCUAAGGUUAAACGUGAAUGAAAAAAUUUAACCAUUCUUACAUUNNNNNNNNNNNNNNNNNNNNNNNNNNNNNNNNNNNNNNNNNNNNNNNNNNNNNNNNNNNNNNNNNNNNNNNNNNNNNNNNNNNNNNNNNNNNNNNNNNNNNNNNNNNNNNNNNNNNNNNNNNNNNNNNNNNNNNNNNNNNNNNNNNNAAAUUUCAGCCAAUUUGGUAAUCGUUAAGGCCCUCAAAUUGUGUUUUCUAGUAUAAACAUGAACCGGACAUAAUUCAGUCUGUCCAUUUGUUUUUGAGUUUAAGAGCCUUAACGAUUACCAAAUUGGCUGAAAUUUUGCAGAGAUGAUCUACACAAUAUCAUCUAGAUAAUACACGGUGGAGAUGAGGAAAUUCGAUCAAAAAGUGGUGAAAAAAAUGAAAAUCCGCACCAAACCAUUGGUGCGGACGUCCGCAGCUGAGAAAAAUCCUAUAUAUAUAUAACCAAUAUAACCAUAUAUAUAUAUAACCAAUAUAUAUAUAUAUAUAACUGCCAAUCAACAAUUGACCGGCGGUACCACCAGAAUUCUUCACCGGAAAACAUGGUCUUCAUUUGUUUUUUUGAAUAGGAGGAAACAUAUAUGGUCUAAACAAGGAGGAGAAAUAACUUCAAAUGUAAUGGGUAACCCAAAAUUCAAUAUAUCAUCAACAAACAACAUCAUCAUCAUCAAAGCUAUAAACUAGUGAAACAUAAAUAGUGAAAUAAGAGAGAAUGAGAUUAUAGCAAGUUAUAAACUAGUGAUGGUUCAUAAGUAGAGGUAGACAAAGCUUUAGAAGUCUGAAAUUGAUGAUUUCUGAUAUUAACAUUGAAAAUCUGUCGCCAGAUUUCAGCUGCACAACGUUUCUAUCUGUUUUAGAUCUGGGCAGUGAUGAAGGAGAUAUAAAGUCGAAAACACUUAUGCGACGAAAAUUUCGUCUCAUUAGUAUUUAAAUUUCAUCUCACAAGAAACAUUUUAUGCGAUGAAAAUAAAUUUUUCGUCGCUUAAGAUAAAUAUUUUUGCGACAAAAAUAAUUUAUUCGUCGCCUAAGACAGAUCUUAAGAGAUGAAAAAUAUUUCGUCUCUUAAGUUCUCCCUUCGUCUCUUAAGUAAAAUUUUCGUCGCUUAGGAUAUAACCUAUAUGACGGUUUAGUAUUCAUCGCUUAAGUACUUACCUAAGAGACGAAUGGUUUUUCGUAGCAUAAGUGAUAUCCUAAGAGACGAAAAAAAUUCUCUUCGUUGCAUCUGUCUUUUUUUUAGUAGUGAUAGUGGAGAUAGCAGAAUCAUGAGAGAGCUUGAAUUCCAAUAAGUUGCUAGAUUGUUGCUAGGUUCCAUGGUAAUGUCAUAAUUUUGGUGGAGAGACCUAAGUGAUGUAGUUAUGACCACUACAUAAGUUCAUUCCGGUAAUUGAGGUUAAACUCUUGUUGGACUAAUCGCUUAGGCAGAGAAGGGUUGUCUUGUGGUCUUAUGUGAGCUUUGACUCUGUGAGUACCAUAGUUUUAGAAGGGUGAUUGCUGUAGUUUUUGGCAAUGUAGGAAUCCUCAAUCUAUUCAAUUAGCAGGUUUUCAGAUAGCUAUGAGCAUGUGUGAAUGCAUGAAUUCUAGCUUCUUAUCAAGUGGGCUUUGAUGUCAAGUUCGGAAGCAUAUUGUAACGAUGAGUUCGUGAGCAGGCAUUGUGAAUUAAUUACGUGUAGACGUUAAUGGUACAACGAAAGAUGUAGAGUCUUUGAAGGAAGCUUUUCUCGCGUCGGGCGAGAGAUUGGUGAAUCAGAGUCAUCAGUGUUCCAAUUAUGUUGACGCCAUGUGGGGAUGGCAGAGUAGAGCCAUUGAGUUUCUUAGCGCAACAAGGAGUAAAGGAAUUGUUAAGCAUUGGCGAGUUUUCAUUUGAAACUUCGAGGACGAAAUUUUUAUAAGGGGGGAAGAUUGUAACACCCCGGACCUAAUUUUACCUAUUUACUGGAUAUUCUGCGAGUUACUGAGGAAUUUAACCACGCUCGGUAACUUAGUAAGGUAACACUCUAGUUUAUUUUCGAGUUUUCUAGAAAUAUCGAAUCCCUCUGUUAUGGUCUCAAUGUAGUAGUUUGUGUUGACACAAGUUCUCCGGUGUUUUAGGAUUAUUUGUCAAAACUUCGAGUUAUUUCGAUUUAUUGAAUGUUUGGUAGAAGGAAUUAAUUUUCUGAAAUUAGUGUAACUUUUAAUCUGGGCCAUAGGAUCUAGGGUUAAAUCUUGGCUAUUGGAUUAGGCUUAAAAGGUAAAGAGGGGGUUGACCCAGUCAAAGAAGACACACUCGAUUUGACUUGAGCCAAGACAUCCCUCUUCCUCUCUGCCUGCCUCCGGCAUCCUCCGCACGACGCCGCUGUCUCCAGCCACCCUUGGUGACGAGAUCACCUCCAAUCUCUUCCUCUCCUUCUCUUCUAUCUAUCCCGGUCCUCAGAACUCGAUUUUAGUCCGAUUCAAAGUCAAAUCGAGGGAGAGAAGCUUCAACUGUUCCCGGUGAGUCCUCGAGAUUUCCGGCCACAGCGUGACGAGUAAAUGGUAGGGUUUUGUUCCUCUCCUCCUUCUUCAAUUCCAUGUCUUCAAUUCUUUGAACCGAGCCUUGAUUCUAUUUUUUGGGUUUCGAAUCCCUAGCUCUGGCGACUGAGUUCUUCGGGUUCUAACUGCCGCCACGAUCUCCGUCGAGCGUUGUUUAUCCUUGGUGAAACCGAUUCAUAGAGUUGGGAAGCUUUGGGGCUGCUACUGUGAGGUCGAGUAGAGGUAAGCUCGGCUUCUCGGGUGAGAAACUUUCAGGUUGGUUUGGAUGAGCAGAAGUAAAAAUCCGGCUAGGAGGAGGACGAGAAGCAAAUGGGUUAUUGGUUUCAAGCAGAUUAAAGGUAAGCCUUGUGCUGUGUUGUUUCGUGUCGGUUGUGGUUUGAGAAAAUUGGAUUUUGGUUGCUAAUUUGGAUGUUUUGGUUUCUUGUAUGUCAAUAACUUGGUUUCGAAGUUUACGGGGAGGCUAUGGCCAAUUUCCAGCAGUGGCCGAUUAGGUGUUUCCGAGGACUUUCUUUCUAAUCUGAAUUGUAGUUCCGAAAAAGAGAAAUAUUCAGGUUAUAAUUGGAAAACUUGCUAAGUUAGGAAAGUUCCCAUUUUAGGAAACUUUCCCUUUAUGGAGACAUCCCAUUUAUGGAAACCCUUUUUGGGUGCCCUUAGUAAUUUAAUGGUUUUCCGGAUUAAUGUGUUCUGUAUAUUUGAGUCCUUGAAAUUACCCUAGUUUUAUUAAUCGACACCGGAGGUUGCCAAAAUGAUCUUUUAAGCGUAAAGGUUGGGGGUCAUUAGUGAUUCAUGAAUUAUUUAAUGACGCCAAGUGAGUAGCGGUUAGUAGAAUAUUUGGUGAAUUGACUUGGAUUGUUAAGUCAAAUUAAUUUGGAAAAUGUCGAAACAUCAUUAGUUGCCCAACCCUAAGUCAAUUGGUCAAACUUGGUCAAUCCUGGUCAACCUAGGAAAUCCUAAUCGAACUAGGAAGAAGUCGAGUCAAUGAUUAUUUCAGAGUCCAGUCUGACCGAUUUGUUCUACUGUUUAUUGUCAGACAUGGGAUUGACUUGAGAUUUUGAAUAAUUGGAGGCAGCGCUUGAGGAGUAUUCCGAGAAUUGGAAGGCUUAAGGCUUAAUUUGUGAGUGGACUUUUGUUUUAAUUAAAAGCAUGCGAUGCAUUAUAUUGUUGAUCAAUUAUUCUUCUAUUGAAAUUUAUUACUUUCUUUGAUAUUUGGUAAUUUUCAUCUUUUGGAGAGUUACCGUAAAUGAGAUUUUUGGUGGAUAUGUAUAUCGGAAUUUUAUGAGUACAGUAUGUAUAUAAAUGCUAGCUAGCCAUACGUGCUUGAUCCGUCAUAAUAAGGUAAAAUUCCAUUAUGGCGUGACGUGAGUGUUAGACAAAAGCGUCAUAACCCUAUAUGAAAACUAUUUUCUUAUCUGGUUCUUAUAGGUUUUCAUAUAGGGAGUUCGCACGUAUAUACACCCAUCCUUUUCGAUCAUAAUAAGGAAAAAUUUUAUUAUAACACGACGUGAGCGUUAGACGCAAGCGUCGUAGCCUUGUAUGAAUUUCUAUUUUUCUAUUUUGUUCAUAGAAUUCGUACAAGGAGUCUGACGAGUGUAAAUACAUACACAUAUAUUUAUAUAUAGUUUAGCUUGAGAGGCUGUUCGAACCCACCCCGAAUUUCAUCCUAAAACCCGAGGUAAGUCUUGCGGGGUCCACCUUCAAAGAAAAUUUACCGAAAAUUCGGCAUAACCUUCCUUGAAAAUUGACAACCCUUACCUGAAAAAUCCAACUUAACACUUCUAUAACCAAACAUCUAUCCUCAAUACCUGGAGCCUUCCUGCUCCCCAAGAUCAUCACAUCUCCUAAUAAAUCAAAAACUAAACUUCUAGAAUUCCACAACCAAUAACAAAGACAACAAUAAAUCACUAACUGGUUAUCAGGACAUAUCUAAUACUGAAAGAAUAACAAUGAAUAAAGAUUAAGCGGAAGCAGCCUCUGACUAUGCCUCAACUUCAUGUACGCUCGUCCUCAAUUAUACUUAGCCUGCAAACUAGGCAUUUAAAACCAAAGGGCCCAGGGGAAAGUAAUUUAAAAACGUUAGAGUGAGUGGACAAAAUAAUUUAAAUAAUUUAACAAAUACUCAAUUUAUAUACUUUCCCACAUUUCAGCUUUAAAAACAUAGCUGCACACAAUAUUUGAUAAAUCAUAUAACUUAAAUCCAUAAACUCAUAAGAAUGGACAAACCAGCCCCGCUGGUUAAAUCAAAUAAAGAAAUCUCGUAAAAAGAGAUAAACCAGUCCCGUUGGUUGAUCAAAUAUAUAUCUGAGAAGAAUAAAAUAAGGGGAAGAGUUAUUAUCAUGAAAAGGAGCCUCCAAGGCUUGGGUCGAUGCCUCCCAGGCUAUAAUAGCAUCCCACGCUAAGCGCUCAACUCACAUAUGAUGAGGACCGCUAAUAAGUCUAUAAUAGCGUCCCACGCUAAGCGCUCAACUCACAUAUGACGAGGACCGCUAAUAAGGCUAGCUAACUAAUAAAUAUAAAUACCGAUCGGUUGCCUCCCAGGCUAUAACUAGGUCCCACGCUACGCGCUCUACUCACAUAUGAUGAGGACCGCUAAUAAGUCUAUAAUAGCAACUCACAUAUGAUGAGGACCGCUAAUAAGGUUAGCUAGCAAUAAUCAAUAUAAAUCAACCCUAUAUUAUGGUGACUAAAAACAUACGAAAUCACUUAAAUCCAUUUAAACUUUCCCAAGAUCAUACGAAUGAUACAGUUCCCCAACCGUACUUGAAAAUUAUCAUAAGAAUAAACUCAAUGACGUAUCUCACACGUCAAAAUAUUCUCAAAACCAUAUUAUAAGCGAGAUUUAAUUAACCAGUAAAAAUCAUAAUUAAUAUCUCAAACCAAAAUACUCGCUAAAACAUUCUCAAGGUCAAGAUCGAUAUUCCACGAAUAAUUUUGAAAAUUAAAAAUAGCAAACUACCGAAAAUCCCAUUUUCGGAAAUCUUUUAUAAAACUCAAAGUCCACCAAUAAAACCUUUUUAAUGAAAUCCGGAAUUUAUAAAAAAAAUAUCCAACCUCAAAUAUCAAAUUAAUAAUCUGAGCUCAAAUCCAUAAUCUUGACCAACAAUUAAUCCAUGCUUCAAACUUAAAUAAUUUCCAAAAUCAUCUGAUAAGCCAAAAUUAUAAUAGAAGCUCGGAAAAUAAAAUAAUAACUUAUAGAAUCUUGCAUGCAUAUUUAUUUAAAACCAAAAUGUCCACUCACUAAUUUAGGCAUAAGCCCGACGAUAUCUGCAUCACCACUCAAGCGAGGUUCCCUUCGCAUCUUGGCACAACAUCCAUGCUUAGAACCAAACUUCAAUUCCAGAAAAAUAAAUACGUAAAUAAAAACAUCUAACUCUCUUCCGUUUAACCCACUACUCUUAUUAGGGUUAAACUCACCGAAUUCACAUCAAACUCUACCACAACCUUAAUUCAUCAAUUCUAACAUUUUAGGACCAUAACCAAGAAAAUCCAAUGGUCGGAUUUAUUCAAUCAACCGCCAAUUUCUCCAAUCUCCGAAAAUUCCAAACCUAACCAAAACUCAUCCAAAAAUUCCAAACUAUACUUCAAUACACUCCUCUUAUUAAAACCAUCUCAAAAACAGGAAAAACUGCCCUUAAGGGGCGGCGGCCGGCAACCGUACUCCGGCGACGUCCAAUGCCUCCCAAAUUUUAACAGAAUAAUCCUCUCAUCAUGCACAACAACUUUCAUAACAAGCACUUAGUCUAAUUCUAAGGCUAACUAGGGUAAUCGAACCAAAACAUCCAUAAAUCCCUAGAACUUCAAUUAUACAUUUCUUAUAAACAAGAUCGAAUUAGAUCAAUUCCUUUUGAGGGAUUACUCACUUGAUGAGGGCUACAAGAUGAGCCAAAAAUCCCGACCUAUGGUGGCCGGAGGAGGGAACUCCGGCAAAAUGGCAAUCGGCGUCUCCGGCGAACUUCCUCUCGAACGGCGGCGUUACACGACCGGUCACCGGCCCAAGAAGAGAGAGGGGAUGACGGGGGUCCGAACGGAGGUGGCCCAGCGGUCUCUAGAGGCCGGACGGCGGCGGACGAAGACUGGGUUUCCUGCAGGUCGGGAGGAACUNNNNNNNNNNNNNNNNNNNNGGGGGUGUUGGGUUGCUCCACACCCGGUCCAACUAAUACCCCAACAAAAUAAAGCCUACUUAAAUAUAUCUCCUUUUACCAAAUUAGUAACUUUCGUUUUUAGACCAUAACUUCUCCAUACGAACUUUUUAAGCGUACUGCAUGUCCACGAACUCUGUUUAAUGUCCUCUACAACUUUCAUGAAGAAAGUUUUCCCAAAUUCCAAAUGGAAGAAAAAGUCAAUGUUUGGAGUCUUAAAUAGUAAACGGUUACUUAAAACGGUAAAAGGUCAACAUAACCAAAAGUCAAUAACCGUAAAUUAACUUAAGAACCAGGAUGUGACAGAGGCUCUAUUUUAUUGAGUAUUGGAGACUGGCCGGAGCUAGUCAUGUAUUUGCCAGUUAGAGAGUAGAAAGCUUUAAGCUGUCGUAUGCAGCAUAUUUUCUAUGGAAAUUUAUUUUGGGAAAGUAUAAAUAUUUUUUAUUAAAUUCAUUUUUGUCCACUCACUCUAACAUUUUCAAAUGUUUUCCCUUGGGCCUUUCGUUUUAAAAAUGCCCAGUAUGCAGGUUAACAUAGUUGAGGUCGAGCGUACAUGGAGAAGAGGCAUAGUCAAUAGUAUAGCUUCCGCUCAUUUUGUCACAUCCCGACCCCUAAAUUUUUACCUUUUUUACUAGCUUGAUUAUAAUAAGAAUUUUACCGACUUUGUCAAUGAAGUUAUAGUUUAAUUGGUCCCUAGAGGGGUUUUGAGGGACGAUUAUUUCGGAGAGUUAUUCAUAGGAGAAAAUUUUGACGACGGUAAAAAUGGUAAAUUUUAGCUAGUAAAAGGUAAUUUUUAUUAAGGUAUUAUUUUGGGGUGUAAAUUUUUGGUGGAGUUGGGUAUUUUUUUUUUCGUUGGCCGGUUUGGGGUUAAAGGCCCAAAACCCAUAUUUUUUUUCUCUUCUCCUUUUCUUCUCUCCCGAGCUCACUCUCCCUUCGCCGAAAAUCCUCCGCACGCCGCCAUCGUCCGGCCGAGCCAGGCUGCCGCACCGAUCCCGUCUGGACCGGCGUCUCCUCCUCUCUCAUCCUUGACCGGUGAGCGCUGCCACUUCACGGCCGAACGGGAGGAAACCCGUCCCGAAGGGGCGACUGUGUUGUCGCCGGAGCUUCCUCCUCCGGCCACCAAUCUGGGCAAGCUAUAUACGGUUUUGUAGGUCUCCAACCCAGCUGCCUUGCCCUAAAAGGACUCACUCCGAUUCGCUUCAGGUAAGAAGAAAUUUGAGGUGGAAGUUCUAGGGCGUUUUUGAUGUUUUUGUUCGAUUGGCAUAGCUAGGCUUGGAUUUUGGGUUUGUGCUAGUUAGGAAAGUUGUAGAGCAUGAUGAGAGGAUUAUUUUGUCAAAAUUUCAUAGGAAUUGGAGGUCGCCGGAAUCAGCCUCCGGCCGGCGCUGGUGCCGCCGGUGUUUGGGAGAUUUUCAAGAUUUUAAAUGUGGAAUAUUAAGGGGAGUAUAUUGAUGUGAAUUAUGGAAUUUUCGGAUGAGUUUUGGAUAGGUUUGUGAAUUUCCGAAGUUUGGUAUUUUGGCGGUUAAUUAAUGUAGAAUCCGGCCGAAGGAUUUAAGCCAUUAAUCUGUGAAAGGUUGAUUUAAGGUUGCCGGUAUGUUCGGUGAAGUUUGAGCCAUUUUGAGUUAAGAAUGGGGAAGUUGGGCAAUGAUGAGUGUGUGGGAGGCUCACGUUUAAUUUUCCCAUUUUGAUUAAAUAUUGGAUUUUUAGUUGGGAAAUUAAUUGUAUAUUUGGUUCAGGACGAGAGGAGGCCCGAGCAGAAGAAGCCUCGGAGUGACAUUAGGCUUAGGCCUGAUUUGUGAGUGGACCUUUGUUUUAAUUGAAAAGCAUGCGAUGAAUUAUCUUGUUGAUCAUUUAUUUCUUUUCUUGAGAUUUAUUUUCUUUCUCGGAUAUUUGGUAAUUUUCCUCCUUUGGAGAGAUCCCGAAAAUGAGAUUUUCGGUGGAUAUGUUUAUUGGAUAUUAUGAGUAUAGCAUGUAUAUAAAUGCUAGCUAGCCAUACGUGCUUGGUCCGUCAUAAUGAGGUAAAAUGCCAUUAUUGCGUGACGUGAGUGUUAGACACUAGCGUCAUAGCCCUAUAUGAAAACUACUUGCUUUUCUGGUUUAUUUAGGUUUUCAUAUAGGGAGUCAACAUGUAUAUAAAUACACUGUCCUCUUCGAUCAUAAUGAGGAGAAAAUACCAUUAUGGCGCAACGUGAGCGUUAGACGCCAACGUUGUAGUCUUGUAUGAAUUUCUAUUUUUCUAAAUUGUUUUUAGGAUUCAUACAAGGAGUCUGACGAGUGUAAAUACAUACGAAUAUAUGAUUAUAUAUAAUUUAGCCUGAGAGGCUCCAUUUUAUUUGAUUUGGUGACUAGCUGGAGCUAGUCGUUAAAUUGCCAGUUUUUGAGUUUGAGUUGAGCGCUUUUAAGCGGUCGCAUGCCGUCUAUUUUCUUUGAAAAAUAAAAAUGGGAAUGCAUAAAUAUUUUUAUUAAAUUAUUUUUGUUCACUCACUCUAACGUUAUUAAAUGUCUUCCCCUGGGCCCUUCGUUUUAAAAUGCCCAGUCUGCAAUGUGCGGGUUAGUUCUAGUAGGAGGCGAGGCAUAGUCACCCGCAUUUCCACCACUUUUCACCGGUAGGUUACCUAUUUAACCAACCUGUGUUUUUCUUGCUUCCUCGAGUGUCUAGUAGCUCUGAUUUUCCUUUAGGGAUAUUGUAUAAUAUUAUUUCGGUUGUAGGCGAAGGCUUGUUGACAUUUUAGAAUAUUUGACGAAGGAUUUAUGUUAUCUUAUUUGGAUAUUUAUGUGUUAUGUUGUUGUUAUUGGUGGUGGUUGUGUUUGGGGAGCACGUAGGCUCCAGAAGUUAAGGUUGGAUUGAGAAUUAUAGGAGUGUUUGCAGGUUCCUUCAGGAAGGGUUGUCCAUUUUCAAGGGAGGUCAUGUCGAAUUUUCGGUAAUAUCUUCCUUGGAGAUGGUCCCCGCACGUCUUACUCCGGGUUUCAGGGUGAAAUUCAGGGUGGGUCGUGUCACAUUUUUAUAUUUCUAGUUCCUUUCCUCUCAAAUAGAGUUGCUCUGAACUAUGGUUGUUGGUUGUGAGAUUUUCUUUUUAAAGUUAGUAAUUAAAUUGAGAGAUGAUGUGAUUUGGGGGAGCACGAAGGCUCUAAGAGUUUAAGGUUGGAUUUGGAUUUUCAGAAGUGUAUGCAUGUAUUAUUAGGAAGGGUUGUCCAUUUUCAAGGGAGGUUAUGCCGAAUUUUCGGUAAACUUUCCUUGGAGAUGGUUCCCGCAGGAUUUACUUCGGGUUUCAGGGCGAAAUUCGGGGUAGGUCCUGAUAGUACACUUUAUAUUUUCAUAUUUGGUAGAUAAUAUUAAACUUAUGUGAGUGUUUUCAUUUUCUUGACUUUCAAGUUUAUGUAAACAAGAAAAUGUAAUAUUUAACUUAGCGUUGAGUUGUGUGACAUUUACAUUUCAGCAAUUGAGUUUUAGUUUGCUUUGAAGUUUGUUGAAUAGGUUUUCGGAUUAUUAAUAUUUUGAGAUAUAUCAUGCCCAAAUUUUUGAAAAAUUAUCCUUCGAAAAUUGGGGUGUGACACUUUGGGUUUCAGGGUGAAAUCCGGGAUGGGUCCUGACAAAAUCAGAUGAAGAACUAACAAUGUUGUAGUGUUAGUAGAUAGAUUACAGUUUCUCUUCGCAGAGUUACUUGGAAUAAAUCACUUUGUGAGAGUCAGGAGUGUUUACUAUGAGAAAGGAAUGAGAACUUGAUGUUUGUGUUGUAGAAAUAUCAAGUUAGGUAUUUGUGUUGAAGAAAUACCUCUUCUGUAAACUUUGAUUUAGAUUAUAAGUGAUAAUCUAAAUUUUGUGCAUUUUCCCUUAUUGAGGUUUUUGCACCAACGUAUUUGAUAACUCUUGUGUUGAUUGUUUGUGUUCAUUUACUGUGUUUCUAUAUCUUUAUUAGAAAUCCGUUAAAGAGAUGCGGUAUGAAACCCCUCACGUAAAGUAGUGGCUUCAGCAACAAAAACAUUGAUAACCCAAGCUUUUUUGCAGCAGCUACCAGAGGGUCACCAAGAUGAUCUUGCAAAACAAAUCUAAUAAAAGCUUGCUGAUGAGUAAUAGAAGCAUGCCAAAUUUACUUUGAUGAAAUCACAAAAUGCAGGU
rnacentral:lncRNA from 1 species